rnacentral:rRNA from 1 species
AGUGAACGCUGGCGGUAGGCCUAACACAUGCAAGUCGAACGGCAGCACAGUAAGAGCUUGCUCUUACGGGUGGCGAGUGGCGGACGGGUGAGGAAUACAGCGGAAUCUACUUUUUCGUGGGGGAUAACGUAGGGAAACUUACGCUUAUACCGCAUACGACCUACGGGUGAAAGCAGGGGAUCUUCGGACCUUGCGCGAUUGAAUGAGCCGAUGUCGGAUUAGCUAGUUGGCGGGGUAAAGGCCCACCAAGGCGACGAUCCGUAGCUGGUCUGAGAGGAUGAUCAGCCACACUGGAACUGAGACACGGUCCAGACUCCUACGGGAGGCAGCAGUGGGGAAUAUUGGACAAGGGGCGCAAGCCUGAUCCAGCCAUACCGCGUGGGUGAAGAAGGCCUUCGGGUUGUAAAGCCCUUUUGUUGGGAAAGAAAAGCAGCAGGUUAAUACCCCGCUGUUCUGACGGUACCCAAAGAAUAAGCACCGGCUAACUUCGUG